rnacentral:rRNA from 1 species
UACGUAGGGGGGCUAGCGUUGUCCGGAUUUAUUGGGCGUAAAGAGCGUGUAGGCGGCCAUGUAGGUCCGGUGUGAAAACUCGAGGCUUAACCUCGAGAUGUCAUCGGAAACCAUUUGGCUAGAGUCCGGAAGAGGAGAGUGGAAUUCCUGGUGUAGCGGUGAAAUGCGCAGAUAUCAGGAAGAACACCAAUGCGAAAGCAGCUCUCUGGGACGGUACUGACGCUGAGACGCGAAAAGCCGUGGGGGAGCGAACAGG